rnacentral:lncRNA from 1 species
GAGGUAAGAUGAAAUUUUUAAUGUUAAAAAUAGCUCUACAAAUUGUAUUUCACCUUUUCAAAGGUGAAAACUUCAGUCUGGUGCAUUAGGAAACAGAUGGGGUAGGAUUCAAAACCAUUGCUUUUGACGUCCAAAUAAAUGGAUUUUAUUGUACAGUGUUGGGUUUUAAACCAGUAGUAAACUAUUAAAAAAAAAACUUAUAAUGAUUAUUUUCAAACGGAAACACCAUAUUUGGGAAUUUUAACCCCUCCCCUCUCUCCCCAUAUAUGUGGUCAAAGAUAUGUAGGUACAUCACUCAGGGCCAUAUCUACGGGGAGGGGGGGUUAAAAAAUCCUAAAUAUGGUGUUUUCUUUUGAAAAUUAUCAUUUAAAUGAUAUUUUUUUAAUGGUUUACUACUGGUUCGAAACCCAACAAAGUCAAGUAAAAUAUAUUUUUUGGACGUCAAAAUCAAAGGUUUUGAAUCCUACCCCAUCUGUUUUUUAAUGUACAAGACUAGAGUUUUCACCUUUGAAAGGGUGAAAUAUAAUUUGUAGAGCUAUUUUUAACAUUGAAAAUUUCAUUUUACCUCUUUUUUCGCGCUUGAGGAGACGCACCCCAAGAGCCCAUUUUCACACUCUCCACCCUGUAUCUCGUGAACCGUACAUUGUAGUUCACUGGAAUUUGUUGCAAUGAACUUCUCUUGAUAAGACCUUUAAAACAAUAUGCCACACGAUGUACCAUUCCAUUUAAGAUUUUAAAGCUGGG